UAGCCGGUUUAUGAGGCGACAGAGUUGUGUGACCAAACUAUGACAACACACACAGAUAAAACAUCAGUUACACACAUAACGUACAUCCUUCACUCCUCAUCAAGGUUUUUGUAAGAAAGUGAAAAGGAGAGAAAGAAUGCAUUUGUUUUCAUGUGAAUGCACAUGAUUGCAUACUGUAAUUAUUGCCUAAAAAUGACAUAAGCAGCAAUAGAUUGUUAUACAAGCAUCAGUUCUGCCCGCUGGCUUGGUCUCAGUGCCCUAAAUUGUAAGAUAGCAGAACGGAAUUGAUCGAGUGUGAACAGAAAUCUACCAUGAAUCUAGUCCACAUACAUCAUUUCUGGGAUAUAAAUAGAAGAUGAGCGGUAUUUGAUUUAGUCUUCAUUCUUUAGGUCGGUUUUGUCUGAAUGUAUAUCAGUCGUUCAGUGUUCCAUGUUUUAGUGAUGUUUUUGUUUUUUAUUUGUUUGUUUGUUGGUUUGUUUAUGUCUGGUUGUUUUUAUUGGUUGCCCACAGUAUAAAUUAAAAUAUGGCCAUUACAGAAUCAACAUACAUUUCAGAAGCGCUACCAGUUUUAGUAUCAUAAUUAUAAAGCUCAAAGCAUUUUUUUUUGUGCAUUUCAUUUUGUGUAAUAUAAGGCCUCUGAUAAAUGGUUGCUAUAGAUAUGUGCACAUGCAGGCGGAAUCCAUUUAGGACAGCAUCGCUCGUGCGGUUUAUUCAUUGCAUAAGUAUUAAAUUGCAAAUAGUAUAGUCAUUUAGCCAAAGCGAUGUACAAUGUAAGACCAUUGCCCUGUGGUUAAAUACUCAAGGGUUUCUAUCAGAGAUCAAAUGUGAACUUUCUGUUACCAGCCCAUAGCUAUAACUACAAGGCUGACAUAACCUCCCUGUUUGCAAAUAAUCCCUCUAAUUUAGUUGAGAGAGCGAGUCUGAGUGAGUGAGUGAGUGAGUUUAGGGGUAGGGUUAGUGUAAAGGGAGAGAAUAUACAGUUUGUACAGUAUAAAAAUCAUUAUGUCUAUGGAAAGUCCCCAUAAAACAUGGCAACCCAACGUGUGUGUGUGUGCGUGCGUGCGUGUGUGUGAGAGAGAGUUUAUGUACAUAUUUUGUAUGUAUAUUAUCACAUGCGUUUAGACUGGUAGCAGAGACUCUUUAGAAGAAUAAAAAUAUGCUUUUAUAUACGAAACAGGAGACAUAGUUAUUUAUCUAUGAUAAAAUACAUAUAAUUUAUUUUUUUUCUUAAAUGGAUCACUUACUGUCUUUGGAAAUUCAAGAUCAACUUGUCAUUGUUAUACAUUUAUGUUGCUUUGAUAUGGAAUAAACAGUGUGUGCAGAUUUUACCACAAUUAUUAUUCAUAAUAAACAAACCUAAAACCAUA